rnacentral:lncRNA from 1 species
UGCAUCGGUCUGCCAUCUCUAACACAUCACUUGCUGCUUGCAACGGCGGCCGUCUGUGCACUACUGCAUUCAGUGACAGUGUGGAGGAAUCAAGCAUGUCUGCAUGACAAAGGAAGGUGCAGAACAGAGCAACCCGUGGGACUUGACAGGAAUAACAUCAACCAGCCCAGAAGUCUACACCAGACUAUCUCAGAUGCCAGCUUGAGAGGCAGCCCUUUUUCUUCCAGAGCAGGCUUUCGUGCGGCAAUGCUUUGUAAGGGAUCUAUGAUAAGCACUAUAAUUUUGCCCCCAGUGAAACCUCUGGUCAGCAAAAGUUUUAAAGCAUCUUAAGAAGUCGAAGAAAGACCUUCAUUGAUUUCACUAGGAUUAAAAUGAAGCUCUUGGUGUAUUAGCAACAUAUUAUAAUUUUUCAAACAGCUGCCUGCAAGGAGUAUCUGUAUAAAAGUCUCCUGCUAUGUUAGAAAGAACUGGGGCUGCUUUGAGUGAGACACAUGAAGCCCAGCUUCACUGAAGAGGUAGGACACUCGGAGUGGGCUCCCAGCAUAUGGGCAUCUCAUUCAUAUAUUCAGUUGCUUUGAGAUAAGGAGAUAUCUGUGACAGGUAUUACAGUAUCAAAUAAAAAUGGACUGCAAAUUGCCUGGGGAAGGAUU